rnacentral:misc_RNA from 1 species
GGGGAAUUUUCCGCAAUGGGCGAAAGCCUGACGGAGCAAUACCGCGUGAGGGAGGAAGGCUCUUGGGUUGUAAACCUCUUUUCUCAGGGAAGAACACAAUGACGGUACCUGAGGAAUAAGCAUCGGCUAACUCCGUGCCAGCAGCCGCGGUAAUACGGAGGAUGCAAGCGUUAUCCGGAAUGAUUGGGCGUAAAGCGUCCGCAGGUGGCAGUGUGUGUCUGCUGUUAAAGAGUGAGGCUCAACCUCGCAAAAGCAGUGGAAACUACACAGCUAGAGUACGUUCGGGGCAGAGGGAAUUCCUGGUGUAGCGGUGAAAUGCGUAGAGAUCAGGAAGAACACCGGUGGCGAAAGCGCUCUGCUAGGCCUGUACUGACACUGAGGGACGAAAGCUAGGGGAGCGAAUGGGAUUAGAUACCCCAGUAGUCCUAGCCGUAAACGAUGGAUACUAGGCGUGGCUUGUAUCGACCCGAGCCGUGCCGUAGCUAACGCGUUAAGUAUCCCGCCUGGGGAGUACGCACGCAAGUGUGAAACUCAAAGGAAUUGACGGGGGCCCGCACAAGCGGUGGAGUAUGUGGUUUAAUUCGAUGCAACGCGAAGAACCUUACCAAGGCUUGACAUGUCGCGAAUUUCGCUGAAAGGUGAAAGUGCCUUCGGGAGCGCGAACACAGGUGGUGCAUGGCUGUCGUCAGCUCGUGUCGUGAGAUGUUGGGUUAAGUCCCGCAACGAGCGCAACCCUCGUUUUUAGUUGCCAGCAUUAAGUUGGGCACUCUAGAGAGACUGCCGGUGACAAACCGGAGGAAGGUGGGGAUGACGUCAAGUCAGCAUGCCCCUUACGUCUUGGGCUACACACGUACUACAAUGCUACGGACAGAGGGCAGCAAGACAGCGAUGUCAAGCAAAUCCCGUAAACCGUGGCUCAGUUCAGAUCGCAGGCUGCAACUCGCCUGCGUGAAGGAGGAAUCGCUAGUAAUUGCAGGUCAGCAUACUGCAGUGAAUUCGUUCCCGGGCCUUGUACACACCGCCCGUCACACCAUGGAAGCUGGCAACGCCCGAAGUCAUUACUCCAACCUUUCGGGGGGGAGGAUGCCUAAGGCAGUGCUGGUGACUGGGGUGAAGUCGUAACAAGGUAGCCGUACCGGAAGGUGUGGCUGGAUCACCUCCUUUUAGGGAGACCUACCCACUCAAGUGUCGAAAAACAAUCAGUUACAUAGAUAUUGAGUUGGUCAUCCCAGGUCGUGAGUUGAGCAUUUGUUGAGUGCUUUCAAACUAUAAUUAGGUUCAAGAAUGGGCUAUUAGCUCAGGUGGUUAGAGCGCACCCCUGAUAAGGGUGAGGUCCCUGGUUCGAGUCCAGGAUGGCCCACCUGAAUCAAUGCAAAAUUAAAAAUGCGAAAUUCAAAAAGGUUUCUUAAUUUUGAAUUUUGAAUUUGGAAUUUUGAAUUAUUUAGGGGGGUUUAGCUCAGUUGGUAGAGCGCCUGCUUUGCAAGCAGGAUGUCAGCGGUUCGAGUCCGCUAACCUCCACCUAGAAAACAAAUGUGAGCAAACUCAGCAACAUGACAUAAAUCAAGUCAGACUGCUGAGGAUUUCUCAGCCAGAACCAUGAAAACUGCAUAGUAACGCGAAAUUAGCAGGUAGACACAGACAUUGAAAAGAUGAUUGUGUAUACAGGUGAAACACCAAUGAAAAAGUUUAAUUACGAAUUAGGAAUUACGAAUUAAACAGUAGUGGUCAAGCUAAUAAGGGCUAAUGGUGGAUACCUAGGCACACAGAG